AAGGCACAAGAGAUGCCAAUCAAAACAAGAAUGAAAGAUUGAAACCCUUUGAGCACCACAUGGUGAAAGGGAUUCUCAACUCCAAAACUUUAUAAACCUCAUUCCAACUCCAAAGUCUACCCUUGAUCUGUAAAACAAGUCUCUCAAUAUCCCAAAUUUUUCCUUGAAAACGACUCUCGUUUCUUUUUUCCCAAAGCGUCCAAACCGUUCCCACCCAUAACGCAUUUAGCAAUCUUCUUCCUUUCUUCUUUUUGGCAGCAGAGAUGAAGGAAGUGUAGUGAUGAAGAGUACCUCUAGGAUUUGCCGUUUUGAUGUGUAACCAUUGGAAGAUUUGGUCCCACACCGCCGCAGUUUUCGGGCAAUGAA
rnacentral:lncRNA from 1 species